UACGAACUGUGCAAACGUUAUUCGGAAUCACUGGGCUUAAAGGGUGCGUAGGCGGGCUAUUAAGUCAGUGGUGAAAGCCCCAAGCUUAACUUGGGAACUGCCAUUGAUACUGAUGGUCUUGAGUACAUUUGAGGUGGGCGGAAUGUGUCAUGUAGCGGUGAAAUGCUUAGAUAUGACACAGAACACCGAUUGCGAAGGCAGCUCACUAAACUGUAACUGACGCUGAGGCACGAAAGCGUGGGGAGCAAACAGG
rnacentral:rRNA from 1 species